UCAACUGUCUGGUAACGGUAGGAUAUUACAAAUACACAAAACAAAAUCGGGAUAUGGAGGAAGUUACCAGUGUGUAGUAGAAAACAGCGAGGGCGUUGCAGUGGCGAACUUUCUUGUACGCAAUACACCUUUUGAGUAUGAACGUCAUUGGGUGGUUAAAAACAGAACAAUAAUAAUAGUGACUAUUUUUUCAACAUUGGGUGCUGUUAUGCUAGUAAUGCUGGGUUUUGUGAUCAGAAAAAGGUAGGCU